GAUGACCUAGAAAAUUCCUAG
rnacentral:miRNA from 1 species